rnacentral:rRNA from 1 species
AGCGAACGUUAGCGGCGCGCCUAACACAUGCAAGUCGCACGAGAAAAGGGGCAACCCCGAGUAAAGUGGCGCACGGGUGCGUAACACGUAGGCGAACUCCCCCCGGGAGGGGGAUAACUACCCGAAAGGGUAGCUAAUACCGCGUAAGACCACAGUGACUUCGGUCACAGCGGUCAAAGGUGGCCUCUGCAUGCAAGCCACCGCCUGGGGAUGUGCCUGCGGCCCAUCAGCUUGUUGGCGGGGUAACGGCCCACCAAGGCUAAGACGGGUAGCUGGUCUGAGAGGACGAACAGCCACACUGGCACUGGAACACGGGCCAGACUCCUACGGGAGGCAGCAGUGGGGAAUCUUGGACAAUGGGCGCAAGCCUGAUCCAGCGACGCCGCGUGGGUGAUGAAGGCCUUCGGGUCGUAAAGCUCUGUUGUUAGGGAAGAACAAGUACGAGAGUAACUGCUCGUACCUUGACGGUACCUAACCAGAAAGCCACGGCUAACUACGUGCCAGCCGCCGCAGUAAAAC